rnacentral:rRNA from 1 species
UACAGAGGGUGCAAGCGUUAAUCGGAAUUACUGGGCGUAAAGCGUGCGUAGACGGUUAUGUAAGUCAGAUGUGAAAGCCCCGGGCUCAACCUGGGAAUUGCAUUUGAGACUGCAUAGCUAGGGUGCGGAAGAGGGAAGCGGAAUUUCCGGUGUAGCGGUGAAAUGCGUAGAUAUCGGAAGGAACACCAGUGGCGAAAGCGGCUUCCUGGUCCAGCACCGACGUCAGGCACGAAAGCGUGGGGAGCAAACAGG